CCUACGGGAGGCAGCAGUGGGGAAUAUUGGACAAUGGGCGAAAGCCUGAUCCAGCAAUGCCGCGUGAGUGAUGAAGGCCUUAGGGUUGUAAAGCUCUUUUACCCGGGAUGAUAAUGACAGUACCGGGAGAAUAAGCUCCGGCUAACUCCGUGCCAGCAGCCGCGGUAAUACGGAGGGAGCUAGCGUUGUUCGGAAUUACUGGGCGUAAAGCGUACGUAGGCGGUUAUUCAAGUCAGAGGUGAAAGCCCGGGGCUCAACCCCGGAACUGCCUUUGAAACUAGAUAGCUAGAAUCUUGGAGAGGUCAGUGGAAUUCCGAGUGUAGAGGUGAAAUUCGUAGAUAUUCGGAAGAACACCAGUGGCGAAGGCGACUGACUGGACAAGUAUUGACGCUGAGGUACGAAAGCGUGGGGAGCAAACAGGAUUAGAUACCCUGGUAGUCCACGCCGUAAACGAUGAUAACUAGCUGUCCGGGCACUUGGUGCCUGGGUGGCGCAGCUAACGCAUUAAGUUAUCCGCCUGGGGAGUACGGUCGCAAGAUUAAAACUCAAAGGAAUUGACGG
rnacentral:rRNA from 1 species